rnacentral:rRNA from 1 species
AGUGAACGCUGGUGGUAGGCCUAACACAUGCAAGUCGAACGGCAGCACAGUAAGAGCUUGCUCUUACGGGUGGCGAGUGGCGGACGGGUGAGGAAUACAUCGGAAUCUACUUUUUCGUGGGGGAUAACGUAGGGAAACUUACGCUAAUACUGCAUACGACCUACGGGUGAAAGCAGGGGAUCUUCGGACCUUGCGCGAUUGAAUGAGCCGAUGUCGGAUUAGCUAGUUGGCGGGGUAAAGGCCCACCAAGGCGACGAUCCGUAGCUGGUCUGAGAGGAUGAUCAGCCACACUGGAACUGAGACACGGUCCAGACUCCUACGGGAGGCAGCAGUGGGGAAUAUUGGACAAUGGGCGCAAGCCUGAUCCAGCCAUACCGCGUGGGUGAAGAAGGCCUUCGGGUUGUAAAGCCCUUUUGUUGGGAAAGAAAAGCAGCAGGUUAAUACCCCGCUGUUCUGACGGUACCCAAAGAAUAAGCACCGGCUAACUUCGUG